rfam:Canis lupus familiaris chromosome 1, whole genome shotgun sequence.
GCCUGGCUGGCUCAGUCAGUGGAGCAUGUGACUCUUGAUCUCAAGGUUGUGAGUUCAAGCUCCACACUGGGUG